rnacentral:lncRNA from 1 species
GGGUGUCGAUCGUAGUGGUACAGUCCAGACAAACACGUGAGGAAGCAUUUGGGUGAUUUUGAGCGGCGGCUUCGUGAAAUGAUAAACAAACUUGUGGAUUUAGGAACCGCCCAUCUAUUCAUGCGGAUGCAGGAGAAAAACAGGAGACGUAAACGAAACAAGAUCUCAUCUUCAGUUUUGCUUUGCCAUGGGGUCGCAGGGAAAGUGCGGGAACGUUUUGAAAACAGCAACCAAGAGAAUUGUCCAUUUGCGGUUUAAGCUGCAACUUUUGUUCCAGCCACACACAGACUACGAGAGGUAAGAAUUGUAAUGCUUAUUUGGUUCACCAUUAAAGAGAGGUAAAAUAUUAACUUACCGAAUGGCCAAUGGAAUAUGUACGAAGCAGUAUAUUGGUGCCUGUUCAACAAGUAUUUAGUGCAAACUACUUUACUAAAUGCACUUUAAUUUUGGCACUUUUUUUGGGGGCUAAUAGUGUUGUUGUUAUCACGUAGUGAGCUGACCACGUGUCGUCAUCACUGCCCUGAAGAGCUUCUGCUGUUUCUGAAGGUUAGUUUAAUGUUUUAUUUUGGCGAUGUUACAUUUAUUUUAAAAGAAGUAUUUUCUUUUUUUUUUUUUUCUAGCAAUGUAUGUUGUUGAAAUUGUAU